rnacentral:misc_RNA from 1 species
CCCCUUCGACCAUACCCCAUCCCCACACCGCAUCUAUGAACGCGAAGCUAAAGGCUGCCGUUCCACGGCUGGCCUCCACCGUUCUCCUCCUCGCUCGAAACCCCAAGCACGCCACAUCGGAGCAGCGGCCAGCCACCGGAGACAAUGCUGCAAGGGAGAACGACAUUCACGUGCUCAUUAUGAAGCGGCACGGAAAGGCACGCUUCAUGCCGGGUGCGUACGUGUUUCCUGGCGGCGGUAUCGAGGGUAGCGAUUACGCCGCGGCGACGCACUACCUCGCGGAGCACUACAACCUGCAUCUUCAAGAUGCUAGAGACAAGAAGGUGACGACGCAGGGCUUCAUCGAGUCGCGCGGGCAGCCGUCUGCAGAAGAGGCCGAGCUGGAGGCGUGGGCCUGCCGCGUCGGGGCACUGCGCGAGCUCGCCGAAGAGGCCGCAUGUGUUUUGCGAAGAGAUGGCCGCAUCUUUUCCGAGGCCGAGUGGAUCAAGUGGCAGAAGUCACGCAGCGACGUGGGUGCCACCGGUGGCGCCUCCGCCGACCCCGUCUCGUCCCGUCCCGCAACGCCGCUUCCCAUCUACGACCUUUCUGCCGUCUCGAGCCUCCGUCCCGUUGCGCGGUGGGUGUCGCCACGGCAGUCAACGUACCGCUACGAUACCUACUUCUAUGCCGCUCUGGUGAACUCAGCGCUAGUCAGCGCAGAGGCACACGAAGCGGCGCACGCGCCAUGCUCCACUCAGGCGUCGAGUGGUGACGAGGCGAAUGCUGGCGUGGGGGUUUGCUGCAUCCCACCACAGGAGCUGCCGCUCCUCGAGCAGGCCAGCGAGGUGUCGGAAUUGCUCUGGGUAAGUCCGCUGGAAGCGCUGCGACGGCACGAGGACCCCAGCGACGCCUUUUCACUCGCGCCGCCGACGUACCUGCUUUUGCAUGCUCUGUCUCUGCAGCCCAGCUUUGCGUCGAUGGCGGCGGCCUGGGCGGCAGCGCCAGCCUCCCCCGCAGAGCCUGCAGCAAAACCGUUAGGCGAUCUGCCGCACAGCAGCGUACUGCCCUGCGUGGAACCGCUUAGCACCAUGACGGAGAAUGGGCGGCGCAUCAUGGAGUUUGUGCUGCCAGCGCGCUACUUCCAUGAGACGGGCUGGUCGGUGGCGGAUGGCGAGUACCUCUUCCCUGGCGAGUGCUGCGCCGGGCACAGGCACUUUAUUCACAUGUUCGUUGGUGACGCUGGUGCGACAACAGGAGACGGCGCCACGGCGGGCAAGCCAUGCACCAUCCUGCACUAAAGAGGCGCAGGUUUUUUUUUUCUGGGUGAGGGGGAGGGUGAUGAUUCGACGUGGAGGAAAGCGUGUGCGUGUGUACGAGCGAGAGGGGGACGGGCUGCGAGCGUAGCAGACAUGAUCACUGGCAAGCGAGUGAGUCUUUCAGUGCUCUUCUUCCUUUUGGGGUGUGUCUUUGCUCACCUUUGCCCAGCACCAGCGUGAAGGCUGCACGCGCACAUCGGCAGGUGCUCAUGCGUGCCUUGGGGCAAGCGGAAGGAAGAGUACGAGCGAGCAGUCGAAAAGUUUGGCUCUCUGCCGCCUCCGUCCGGCCGUGACGUGAGAGUGCGAAGGUGUGGGUGGGGGCUGUAGAGGAGGUUUGCCGUGGCGUAUGCGGGUGCCCAUCGGCAUAUCGUGUUCCUCGCCCUCCCGCUUCUACGACCUCCCUGCUCUCCGUGACGCCCUCUUCUUGCACGCCCACCCUCCUCGUCGGUCAGUGCGACACCUGCCGAGCUCACGCUUCAUCUCCCCUUUUCUAUUUUGUGUGCUCGCCAGUCGGACGGCCUGCUUCCCUCUCGCUCAUCUGACAUCUUUGAGUGCGUGUCGCCACCCUCUGCGCCUGGCGCGAUCACAGCGGUAUCUUGUGGCUCGUUGCUCUCGCAUUCCGUGCCACGCCCCUCCCCCUUCUCUUCCUCGUUGCCGACUCGCUUCGUGCACCGAUCACGCUCUUCUCAUUGUUGCUUCCGUCUUGUUUGGUUCUCAGCUGCGUCCUAAACCGGUGCGUGUGUCUCCGUCUGUGCUUGCCAGCGGGUGUGUACAGGCGGCAGACACACACGGGUACGUGCCAGAUCGGUGCUUGGGUGCUCUUUACACGGCUCCCGCCUCGCGUUGGUCGUCCUCUCCCUUCAUCAUGCCGUUUUGCUUCAUGCCUGCUUGUACAUGUUGCGUGCCUUGGCGCUCCCUAUUCAUGGGUGUGCAUUUCCCUCCGCUCCUUCUCCACUACGACCCCCACACCCUCUCUCUCGCACAGCCACUCCUGGCGCGACGAUAUGCUGCCCAGGUGACGGGCCGUACUGUUGCGAACCAAGGGAGUGGAUGAGUAGAGUGCACCCAAGCCUGGGCAGCGAGACAAGGUUUGUAGCCAUGUCGGCAGACAGUCACACACACGCACACACAACAACACACUCUCUCACGCAGACAAGCACAAGCGCUCGCCAGCAUGUAAAGCUAUCGAGGAUCAGUUCGCCGACACACCCGCCUCUACCGCUUCAUCUCCCUUCGCAUGCCCUCCCGCCCCCUUUCUCCUCCUCUCGCCAGCUCGACUUCUUCGUAGGGUGCUCAUGUGCAUCCUGCGCCUCUGCAACACGAGCGAGGAGAGCGGAAGGACGUCAUAUGCGGACACAUACACACACAGUGUCGAUCUCCUGCACCGGCAACAGCGAACAGGUCCACAGAACGGUAAGAGGGGGAACAGCCGGAGCUGCGGCGGCACAUCGUCGUGCCGGCGCGCCGGCCGAGGAGGGAGCCCGAAUACAAGAGAGGGACUCGCUCCAUGAG